UUGUGUGUGUUAGGCAAGCGCUCUACCAUUAAGCUAUAACCCCAGCAAGGGUCUUGCUAAGUUGCUGAGGCUGGCCUCAAACUUUUGAUCCUCCUGUCUCAGCCUCCUGAGUGGUUACCAUGUGCUACUAUGCCUGGCUGACACUAUUAUUGUUGUACUUUUCACCUCUUCAAUAUUUAGGUCUGACUGUCAAAGGGAAAUUAUCAUGGUCAUUACUGAGAUUUAACUAAGGCACAGAGAAUUUAAUAACUUACUAAAGCCAUAGCAGUAGGUUGUGGAACUGGGAUUGUACCUCAGGAAUUGCAGCUUCAGGGUGUUUGUUCCUGAUCACUGCACUACAGCCCAGGUGUAGAGAACUUCAUAGGGGUCCUGCCUGAAGCUCAUGGUAAUUUGGGUUGCCAGGAGCUGCCCACAUUUCUUGUAGUAGUCCUUAGAAAGUCUGUGCUGUUUUGGACACAGCAGAAGCAGUGUGGAGAGACGCAAAUGAACUGGUUUAUUGGGCAGCAGACCCAGCUCCCACGCCCAGCCUGUUCACCUCAUCUGGAAAUGGGUAUCAGCCCCCUGAAUCUGGUUAUCACAAAGGGCUGCUGAUGAGGCUGAGAAAGAGUAUCUUUGAAAUGCAAGUCUAAUUUAUGGGAAUUUCUCCGUUUUUUUGCUACUCACCUUUUCUUUUAUUUGGCUAAUUCUACUGGCUUAGUUAUGAAUGUCUAACAUUUCCUAAAAUUUUACUUAAAAAUACAACAGAUUGACAAGGAUGAAGCCAUGCAGAGUGCUAUGGUGUACGCCUAUAAUCCCAGUGGCUGGGGAGGCUAAGGCAGGAGGAUUGCAAGCUGAAGGCCAGCCUCAGCAUCUUAGUGAGACUCUGUCUCAAAAAAAAGGGGGGGGGGCUAGGGAUGUAGCUCAGCAGAAAAGUGCCCCUGGGUUAAAUCUCCAUUGCCAAAAACAAACAAAAUACUCUAACAGGCUGAUGCUAGGAAUACAAUCUCAAGUGCCAUGACUUAAAAACAAUGAUGAAAGCCUCCUGACACAAGAGACACGUUAUUGAUACAUUGUGAGCAUCACCUUAUUUUAUUCUAUUUGAGAGCCUCCUUGGGGUAAAUUCCUAAGUUAGUCCAUAUCUCCAUAUCCUGAGCUCAGGAACUCUAUUAGCUACUAGGCCUGUGUGCUGAUUCCAGCCUCUUCCUUGGUCUUCACAGUGCCCACUUCACAACAGCUUGUGCAAGCGGCCCUUUGCCUCUGCCGCAAAGCCUCUGCCUCUAUAGUAUUACCCACUGGAAGCAGGACCCUAGCCUCCUUUGUAUCCCAGAGGCUGAGUCUAAGAGUGGAGAAGAAUUGGGCACCUCAUUUCCUAAUAUUUAGCAAAGUGAUUGAUCCAUGCUAUUCUUUUUGUUUUGUUUUUUAAUACCAGGAAUUGAACCCAGAGGUGCUUUAUCUCUGAGCCACAUCCCCAACCUUUUUAGUUUUGAGACAGGGUCUCUCAAAUUGCUCAGAUAGUUGCUGAGGCUGGCUUUCAACUUUCAAUCCUCUUUCCUCAGCCUCUCAAGGGACUAGGAUCAUAGCAUACACCAGCCAUGCUGUUAUUUAACUGUUAUAAUUAAUAAGUAUCAUUGAGGGGCUGGGGAUGUGGCUCAAGCGGUAGCGCGCUUGCCUGGCAUGCGCGUGGCCUGGGUUCAAUCCUCAGCACCACAUACAAAAGAAAAGAUGUUGUGUCCGUUGAAACUAAAAAAUAAAUAUUAAAAAAAAAAAGUACAACUGAAUGCCUCUUCUGUAUCAGGUGGUUUAUAUUAUUGUAUUCAUUUGACUAUAACUUCCUUGGGGAAGAGGUUAUGAUUCCUGCUUUAAAAGUGAGGAGGCUGGGGCUGUAGCUCAGUGGUAGAGCAUUUGCCUAGCAUGUGUGCGGCACUGGGUUUGAUCCUUAGCCCAACAUAAAAAUAAACAAAUGAAAUAAAGGCAUACCGUCCAUCAACAACUAUUAAAUAAACAAACAAACAAAAAAGUGAGGAGACCAAGGCUCAGGAAGGUUACGGAACUUGCCUAAAGCCACAGAACUGGUCAGAGAUCAAGUGGAGAUUUGAACUCCAUAGUAUCUGACUCAUAGUCCAUGCAAUUUCUCCUCAACACUGCUGCCUUCCUUUAAAAUAACAGCAACUAAAAAAGUAAACAAACCAACAAGAACCCAGCUACUAGCUUGAACAGGGUUUGAGGAUCCUUAUUUAAUGUGUCAUAUCCAGAGUUUUGUCAUAAAAAUAGUAUACUUUUUUUAUAAAAUGUUUUCACCCUGUUUUUCAUUAGGUUACCCAACAAACCCCAAGUAGGGCAGGGUAGAGAUCUGUCCCUCAUUUUACAGAUGACAAACUAAGGCUCAGAGAACUAAGGCUCAGAGUUAAGGGACUUGGCUAAGGUUCUAUGUCAAAUAUGAGCUGGAAGAUCUAAUUUGAAUUCUAUCUUGCUACUCAUGGCCAGAGCUUUCCCCAUGGUCCACAGAUGUCUUGUUAUCAUGACAAUCACUAAUGAAUUCCCCUGAGUAUGGCUCUAUGUGAGAGAAUGCUCCAGUCCCCACCAUAAUGAGUACAGGGCUCUUUCUCAAAAUGGCAAGCUAUAGCUGCUAAAAGCUGAUAGGCAAUUUCCCUUGUACCUCCAGAGUCUUCUUCAGAGUGGAGAUGUUUUCACUGCAGACUUCCACAUUGUUCAGAGUCACCUGCGAGAUGAAGAAGGAAAAAUGUGAGGUCCUGUUCACUGUGCUUGCUGCCUACUCCAGUGCCUGACUGGCUGUCAGUUAUACUCCAUGAGGCUCAGAGAGGGAUCUAAGAUGCUAAGGAAAGCCCGCAUCACCGUCAUCAGGUUUGAGACCAAAGACCCCUUCAUCCCAAUGGAGGGAACAGAAAUUUGCACUUAAGGUACCUCACUGAUGGGUAUCUGCUGGGAGCCAAGGAUGUUGUGUUAAGGAUAGGAGUUUUUAUUUUAUACAGACCUGAACUAGAAUCAUAAAGAAAAUUAAGAAACAAAUGGGCUUGGGAAUCAACCACUACUAGGACCUUUGUACCUGAGAAGCAGAAAGGCAGUCAAGUGUACCUGAAGUCAGCCUCUAGUUCUGUGGUAGCAAGGUUGAUCAUGGCACAGAGACAGUCGAUGCUGGAGCUGGAUAGAGCUCGCCCAAUGCACUUCUUAACAAUGUAGAAGACGUCAUCUACCAUGCUGGAUGUCAACUGACCCUUCUCAUAGGUGUCAAGAGCCACAGCCUACCCAAAAGACAAAGCACCCAUGUUGGGGAUCAAACCUAAGCCUCACACAUGACAUAAUUUCUCAUCAAGUUGCUCUGGACAAGCCGGAACUGUAAUACACCACAAAAAUGAGGAAACUCUUCCCACCCACCAACUAUCUGCCUCUGUUAUUCCAAACUUCUAGCAUGUAAGCAUAAAGGUAAGCUAGCUAGGAGUUCAAAGCCAGCCUCAGCAAUGGCAAGGUUCUAAGCAACUCAGUGAGACCCUUGUCUCUAUAUAAAAUACAAAAUAGGGCUGGGGAUGUGGCUCAGUGGUCAAUUGCCCCUGAGUUCAAUUUCCAGCAUUCCCUCCCCGAUAAAAAGGUAAGCUUGUCAGGUAUACCUUUCCUUCAAGCCAGAGGUAAGCUUCCAACAUAAUGGGUCAAAGAGUAACUUUUGGCUUAGAUGCUAACACUUGCCUCUGUUAUUGUACUUACAAGUAAUACUAGUGGUGUUCCAAUGCAUUACUGUCUAGAGUCUCCUAGUCUGAAAUUCUGGAAACACAAUUGUACGAGGCUUCUCCUAUUUCUAUAUACUACUUUUCCGUUCUCUGAUCAAAGGAAUGUAAAAAAUAAAAUUCUGAAUAAGCAAAGUUAUGUUUGCAAUGAAAGAACUAAGGGGAAAUUCAAGACUAAUUACACAUCACUCAAUAGGACCUUAGGAAAGAAAAUCCUCAUAAUGUCACCAGAGGGCACUGUUGUACAUUCUGUACUGAAGAAAUGGUCUAACAUAUAUGUUGUGUUCUUUAGGAAGUUCUAUUUCCUAUCCAUCACCAUCUUGACAAUAUCUCAAGUUGAAAACAAGGUGGUAAUGGGAAAAUGCAUGCCAGUCUGAAUUUAAAAUUUGUUUAUUCUAUGCACCAUUUUAAUUUUUUUCCUCUAGUGUACUCUACUCCAUAUUCCUGACUAAAAAUGCUUCUAAACUGUUCAUAGCUUCCCCAGCUCACCUGCUG